CUGACUCUCAGUACCAAGGUGAACCCAGAAUCUCUGACUCUCAGUACCAAGGUGAACCCAGCAUCAUCGGCCUGUCUCUGACUCUCAGUACCAAGGUGAACCCAGCAUCAUCGGCCUGUCUCUGACUCUCAGUACCAAGGUGAACCCAGCAUCAUGGGCCUGUCUCUGACUCUCAGUACCAAGGUGAACCCAGCAUCAUGGGCCUGUCUCUGACUCUCAGUACCAAGGUGAACCCAGCAUCAUGGGCCUGUCUCUGACUCUCAGUACCAAGGUGAACCCAGCAUCAUGGGCCUGUCUCUGACUCUCAG